ncrna:Pinus densata miR3704a stem-loop (pde-MIR3704a)
AAGGUCAUGGGUCUCGGUGGAGUUGGGAAGACUGUUACAGUGCAUAGAUGUCAUCAGAUCAUAAAUUACUGCGUAGGUAUUUCCAACCCACAGAGACCUGAUGGCCUU